CCAUCAGGCUUGUCUAUGAGGUGCAGUAGCUGUUCGUGAAGACCUCAACAGAGGUUGAAUCCACCUUCCCUCGGUUGGAAGAAAGAGUGCUUGAACCUCACAAUGUAUCAGUAGACGAAGAUCUCAGGGAAGCAGCAAAGCAAGUCGAGGAACACAUGAGGGCGCAGAUAUAGUUUCAUCCUGAGCUGCUUGAACAAUUUGCUAUUGGUGGCAAAGAAGCUGAUGCUUUGGAAAAGUCUAAGAUUUCUUCAAGUGGAGGAUCAUCACUUCAUCAGUAUAGAAAUCUUCUGAUUACAAGGUAAAGCAAAGUGGUUUUGAUAAAUCUGCUAAAAAGAGAGGCGACGAUAAGCAAUAUUCCAUAUCCCACAAGAAGACAAGAGCCUGAUGUAGAGCUCAUGUGUA